ACACAUGUUUUUAAUAACAUCUAGGCAGCUUGACAUUAGUUGUUCUCCUCAUAUACAACGGCAGUCCGCAUGCCGUCUUUCACACAUCCACGUCUGUUCUCUUUUACUCACGCCCUCCUGUACAUCAGAUCAUUUGCCCAUUUGGAGACGGAAAGAGGUCGUUUGGAAGUGGGAGGAGGCAGAGGGAAGUACACAGGUGGGACGCAGAUUGGAGAGAGGCAUUUGUUUCAGGAUAAACACAGAGGGGAAGUGAGGUGGAGUGCUGUUGGCUGCUGAGGCUCGCAGCUAUUCAGGGACAGGUCAGACUGGUUUCUCCAUGUACAAUACUCGUAUUUCCCUCGCUCUUGCUCAUUUAUAGCAGCCGAAAGAGAGGACAAAGUCAACCAGAUAAAGGGGAAAGAGUGGAAAAGUUCUCUGUACAUUUCAACAAAGAGGAAUUCCAACAUGCCAGAGGAAGGACAAUAUUAUGGAAAACAUGGUGAGCCAAGAAAGUAUGACCCGACUUUCAAGGGUCCCAUCCAGAACAGAGGCUGCACAGACAUUGUGUGCUGCAUCCUCUUCUUUCUUGCCAUCCUGGGUUAUAUUGCAGUGGGAAUACUCGCCUGGUCCCAGGGUGACCCCAGGAAGGUGAUCUAUCCUACAGACAGCCAAGGGCAGUUCUGUGGGCAGGCUGGCACCCCACUUGAGAAGAAGCCACUGUUGUUCUACUUCAACAUCAUGAAGUGUGCCAGCCCCAUGGUGCUGCUGGAGUUCCAGUGUCCGACCACACAGAUGUGUGUGGAGAAAUGCCCUGACAAGUUCAUGACAUUGGUUAAAGCCUACAGCAACAAAAAUGACUUUGACUACUACAAGCAAUUCUGCAAAGAAGGUGUGACUAAUACAAUGGGUAUACCAGAAGUCCUCAGGUUAGGCCUCUGUCCUGCCAUGCUGACCCCGAGUGUACCCUUCACUCGUAGGUGUUUCCCAGCGUUGGGACGGAAAGGAGGGGUGAUAACAGUGGGAAACAACUCUCACUUUGAUGAUGGAAGUGGAAACAUGAGAGAUGCCAAAGAUCUUGUGGAUGGAGUCAAGAAUGCCACUGUGGUUAUUGAGGCCCGUCAGGUGGUCAUGAAAAUUUUUGAGGAUUACACACAGUCCUGGUACUGGAUCCUGCUUGGGUUGGUUAUUGCUAUGCUUACCAGCCUGCUUUUCCUCAUCCUCCUGCGCUUCCUGGCAGGAAUCAUGGUCUGGGUCAUCAUCAUCAUGGUGAUAGUGGUAAUCGGAUAUGGUAUCUUCCACUGCUACAUGGAGUAUGAUGGCCUGAAAGGAGAACCAGGCGCUAAUGUGACUCUGCAGCAGCUGGGCUUCCAGACGGACUUCACAGUCUACCUGCAGAUCAGACAGACCUGGCUGGCCUUCAUGAUCAUCCUGGCCAUUGUGGAGGUCAUCAUCAUCCUGCUGCUCAUCUUCCUCAGGAAGAGGAUCCUCAUUGCCAUUGCUCUCAUCAAAGAAGCCAGCAGAGCCAUCGGGCAUGUGAUGUCUUCCCUUUUCUACCCGCUGUUCACCUUCCUCCUCCUGGCCAUGGUCAUCGCCUACUGGGCAGUUACUGCUGUCUUUUUGUCUACCUCAAAUGAACCCGUCUACAAAGUUUUCAACGAGACAGUAUGCGAGCACUCAAGAAAAACAUGUGACCCGGCUAACUACACAACCAGUCCCAUGAAAGCCCAGUGCCCUGAGUCCGAGUGCCUUUUUGCCUUCUACGGUGGAGAGACGGUUUACCACAAAUACCUGAUCGGCCUGCAGUUCUACAAUGUCUUCCUCUUCUUCUGGUGUGCCAACUUUGUCACGGCUCUGGGACAGAUGACCCUGGCUGGGGCCUUUGCCUCAUACUACUGGGCCUUUGUCAAGCCCGAUGACAUGCCUACCUUCCCAGUGUUUUCUGCUCUCGGGAGGUCUCUCAGGUAUCAUACAGGAAGUCUGGCGUUUGGCUCUCUUAUCCUCUCAAUCAUUCAGAUCAUCAGGGUUUUGCUGGAAUAUCUGGACCACAAGCUGAAAGGAGCCCAAAAUAAGUUCACCAAGUUCUUAUUGUGCUGUCUGAAGUGUUGCUUCUGGUGCUUGGAGAAAUUCAUCAAGUUCCUCAACAGAAAUGCUUACAUUAUGGUGGCGAUUUAUGGCAAAAACUUCUGCACUUCUGCCAGAGAUGCCUUUUUCCUCCUCAUGAGGAACAUGAUCAGGGUGGCUGUCUUGGACAAAGUAACAGAUUUCCUCUUGUUUUUGGGCAAACUGCUCAUUGUUGGACUAGUGGGGAUCUUUUCCUUCUUUUUCUUCUCUGGGAAAGUGAAGGCCUUUGAGAAUACAGCUCCCAAUCUCCACUACUACUGGGUGCCCAUCCUGACUGUGGUGAUUGGCUCCUACCUCAUUGCCCAUGGAUUCUUCAGUGUGUACGCCAUGUGUGUGGACACACUUUUCCUCUGCUUCUGUGAAGACCUGGAGCGCAAUGACGGUUCAGCCGCAAGACCUUAUUACAUGUCCUCAAGUCUUCAUGAGAUUCUGUGGAAGAGCGAGGCUGAGGACCCGUCUUCGUCCCCUGCUCAGCAGCUGAAUGAUGAAGACGUCCAGUUGCAGCAGACCUCAGUUCCUGAGGAGCACGCAGCUUAGAGAAGACGAGUUCUUUGGGCGAAGGCGCUGUUUGCCAGUGUCGUCAGACUUCUCACUCUUUUCACAGUUUUUCAACCGUUAUAGUUGAAGACUAUGUUACAUUAUAAUAGUAUGGAACUGGUACUUUGUUGUUGUUGUUGCCCGUUGGGGAAUUCUACUUUGCACCUCACCAACUCGUCUCACAGAGGCAGGGAUUCAGUGUUUCUGUCAUUCACAUCUGAGUGGUGCACAUUUCCUUUUACCUGGGGAAAUAAGGAUUAGGCUUAAGGAUUAGGCAUUUGUUUCCUCAAUUGACUAUUUGCUCAAGCACCACGCCCCAAACUGUGACUGUUCAGUUAUAGCAGGGCUUUCAGACUUUGAACAUGUAGAAGCAGUGUGCAAACAUAAGAGCAAAAGUUUAUGGGAUUGAUUAAUUUAUUAAUUGUUAGCAUGUUUGGCUAGCUAGUUUACUGCUAGUUUACAGGAUGCUACACAUAUCAACUCAAACUCAGGAUUCAGGGUAUUAUGUCCGCCAAACACAGUGGUUAGUCCUCAUUUGAAAAGCCUUUCUCUUGUAACAGUAAAAGUGAAACAAACUGUUUACUGGGAAUGAAACAACAGUCUGAUCUUACAUUUGUCUAAAUGUGAUACAAGGACUAUAUAUAUAUAAUAUACAAAGGAGGUUAGGAAAUGGUCAACUGGACAUCAAGCAUAUCUAUACAUGGGUUGGUUUUUGCAUGGUUAACAUCCAGGUCUUUCUUCAUUUUAAUGACUGUUUAACUUUUAGAAGUUUGUUACUGGCCAGUUGAAACUUGAAGACGUCAAUGUGCCUCAGUUACAGUGUUACGAAUCAGUAUGUUUGCGCCUUUGACCCAAAAUGUUAUGGAUACUUAAUUGUUGACAGUUUUAGGUUACUUGAAUCAUCAGUUCUGUUUCUUUAGUACGCUGCACUAUCAAUGCAACUUUUUUAUUUCUGUUCACACUGAGCCAUAACAGUUUUUUAUCUGUAUAGAUAAAUACUGGUGAUUUUCUUUAGGCUAGUCGCUUUGUAUUCUCUUAUAUUGUAGUUCAACAAAGUUUUGCAUCCUCUUUACAAAUGAAUGUAUGCUUGGCAGUGUAGUUCAUACAAUAAACGGUACAAAUGUUGAGGCCAUAUAUGUGAGUAUAUAUGUAAAAAAAAUCUAAGUUCUUUUUGUGCGGAGCUGGAAAUGAGCCAAAUUAACUUUGUCCUCCACAUUUGCUAGUAAUGAAUUGUGAAGCUUCUCCUCUUUUUAAAAGUAGGUGUCUCUGCUUUGUAAAAAUGUAAAAGAAACAACCCUGCCUCAAGUAUUGGAAAUGAAAACUGUGACUCUAAUCUUACUUUAAUGGCAUUUCAUUGAAUCU